UUCUGCUUAACUACAAGGUUAAUACGUCUAUCAAAUCCAUUGUCACCACUGCCCCUUAAUGCAAAGCAAAUUUUAAUGCUGUUACUGAAAUGUCAGGGCUAAAAUGAAAUUUAAUAGGUGAGCCGAACUUCUCUAUUAUUCAAAAUUUAAAUGUGAAGUUCGAAGGGGAAAGUUUUACUUUAACCCUGACUAGUCAUCAUUGCUUUCAUUCAAGCAGAUAACCAGCUGUCACAGAGAAACAUGCAGAACAGUUGCAGGAUUCUGAUAUUUUAGAAUUCUGAAUUUUUAUGAUAACUGUCUUAUCAUGGAGUAGUAGUAGUAGUCUGAUACUUUUUAUUUUGUUUGGAUUUUAAUGUGUAUGAUUUAUAGAAUAUACUCAUGGAAAUAAGGUAUAUAGAAAAGAACUUAUGUGAUUUAUAACAUUUCAAUGAAAAUACUUGCUUUCAGAAGUUUUAUCAGUUUUGUGUGAGUGUGUGUGUGUAUGUGUGUGUGUACAGUCUAUUUGUGGGUAUGUAUGUGUGUUAUACCUGCUUUUUGUUUGUUUUUUAUAAACUAUUGCAUGAGCAAGAUGUUCCCACUUUGAAACCUUAUGCAUUCUUGGAACUCUUAAGACUAUAUUUCCAGUUCUUCAAAGGAGUUCAUCUGAGAAGUAGCACUCUAAACCAAACCGUUUGGUCUCUUUCAAGACAGAAAACCCACGUUUGCCACAAACAAAUCUUCCCUUAAGCGCACUGAGUACCAAUCUGGAAAAUGAUGAACUGAUUUCACUACAAGGUUUGAUAGACUAUAUUCCUUUAAAAAAUUUCUAGUCACUUCUUGCACUCAAAUGCAAGGUUUGUGUCAAAUGUUUCUUCAAAGUGUCAGGGUAGAAGGAUCAAACUUCUCCAUUUCAAUCAAACAAACAGAGGCAUCAGAAACAUUUUUUCCUGAGUGGUGAUUUCUAAAAUAAAUUAUUAUAUAAUAUGCUUCUUAGAAAGUUUUUUUUUUUUUUCAGCUUUAAAAGGGAAUUUAAUGAGGUAUGCUUCCAUGUCCCUGGAAAAGUGUAUGUAAUGUGCCUGUUGCACGCAUGUAUCUUUCAGGAAUCUGGCACCUAAGUGUUUUGUCUUUCUCUUAGUAGAUUGUCAGAUGGCAUAGAUGUCACUAUACUUAAGAGUUUAAAGAAGGACUAGCCAUUGUGGUUAGUACGUCUCUUUAUUUACUAAGUGGAACAAAACCACUUGAAGUUUCAUUAUCCACCUUAUUUCUUUGUAUAAAGUUUUCUGUGUUUAUACAUUCAUCAUGCUCUCCAACUUUUUUUUUUAAAGUAGUGUUUAAACAGAAUAAUUUUUUUUUCUCAUUUUGAUCAAGUCAUCAGCCAAUGUGAAUGUAAAUUGAUUUCUCUAAACUUUCUUAAAGUCAUUUUAUUUAUUCAAUUUUUAAGACUCCACUUCAGGGACUAUUUAUAGUCUAGAUGACAUUUAUCAGCACAAAAUUUUGUUUUACCCUCAAUUCAAUGAAUUUUAUAUUUCUGCCAUGUAAAAUUUCAAAUGAACUGCUCACAUAAUGUUUUUUCUUGAACUUUUGGGGGGUCAUUUGUUUAACUAAAUGCUUAUUUUUGUUGCUGAUUAUUUACUGAUUUUUUUCCCAUUAUUUCACAACAUCAUGCUUUGAGGCCUAGUUAUCUGUUUACCUGAAAUUUUCUCUUUUUCCCCUAAUAAUUUCCCUUCUAAUGUAUGAAUACAAAUUGCUCUGACAAUUACACUGAUCUUAACAUUUCCUUAAGUCUCUUAGUAUUUAAAUGUUGACUUUCUCCCCCUCUCCUUAGAGAGAUAAGUCAAUUGCAAACAGUUCAAGCUAAGAUUAGGUCUGCCAAUAUUUUUCAGAGGUGUAUGAGAUUUACCUACUGAUUUGGCCCUGCCCACAUGAGAACAAUCCAUAUUUACAGAGGUGCUCUCACUUUCAUCUCUUUUACACACAUCUCCUACCACCGCUUCUAUGAAACAUAUAAAUAAGUUUAUCUUAUGUCUUUAAUACAGUAGAUUUACUUUCAUCGUGUGCUUGGAUUCAUUAGACUACAUGGCUUAAGUCUAAACUUUAAUGACUCUGAUAUUCUGCCUUUUAUCUUCAAUGAUGUCCUUGAAAUUUUCUUUUAAAGGUAAUAUUAGAAACCUUCAUUUUAAACUCUCAUGCUUUCCCUGGCAUUACUGUAUACUGUUCUGCCUUAUGCAUUUAAUAUUCUCUUUUAAAAUUACAUACAUGUAUAUUUACUUUUAUUCCUGCAUUUGAAGUACUUCCUUGCCAAAUAAAGCAUGUAGAACCUGCCAUUACUAAUAUAAGUGAAGAAACCAGCAAAAAAAUAGUUCUUUAUGUAUAUAUACACACACACAAUCAUAUGUGUUAUGCAUGUGCAUAAAUAAUGUGUGUGUACAUCUCCACACUCAGUUACCCCAAGGAUUAAAGUGAUAAAAAAAAUUUUACCUUAGCGUUUAACAAUGGUAAACAAUGUUUUGAGAAACUUUACAGUGUAGGUGUGCAAUGUAUGUGCUAUAGGUCUUUAGAAUGAAUUUUGUUUUAUUUAAUCUCAAAAUAAUUCUCUUACUUGCCACUUACAGAAUGUAUUCAUUGUUCAUCCCCUGUUUGUUGUAUUUAGAUAUUUUCUUAUCUAAUAUCAGGUUAUUUAAAGUUGUUUAUUCAAUUUUCCCAAAUGUCUUGAAAAGAAUAUGUAAAGUAAGUAUUGAUCAAGACCUCAUAUAUGUGUACAUAUAUAUACUUUUUUCUUCUUCAGAAAAAAGUACAAGCUCUUCAUUCAGUCUUUCUGGGUUUUAAUCCUUGUUUUGGCACAUAUUAGCUGUGUGACCUCAACUAGUAGUCUAAAGAACAUAGUAAGUUGGUAUAAUAGGUAAGCAAAAUAAUAUGUGAAAUAUAUUUCUACAACUGGCAGAUAGUAAGCCCCAGAUACAUGUUAACUCUGUUAUUAUCCUCAUAGUUUAUAAGUCUUCGCUUAUCCAUACAACCUAGAACUAUAAUGUAUAUGAUACUAAAAUUCUACUUUUCAUUUGCUGUACUCUAAAAAAAAGAAAUGAAUCACUUAAAAUAUUUUAUCUAUUACAUAGAAUCUGCAUACAGUUUACAUUUAAAAUUUAAAUCUACCAUAUGAUUUGAUCUUCAGGUUGAGACUCUUAUCUCUUUGACCAGAAAGGAAAUCAGGAACAUGGUGACUAUCUGCUUGCUCCCAAUUCACAAAACCUUCCAUCACUAACAAAACUGUUAACUUGGGCCAUGUGACUCCUCUUCUAGAAAUUUUAGUAUUGGCUUCUCAAAUAUGUUGCAAUAUUUAUAAUUACUCAACUUACUUUAUUCUUCCUCUUUUACUCCACAAAAAUACUGUUCUAAGGAUCUUUUUUUUGUUGUUGUUAUCUUUGGGCCGCAUCCAUGGCAUAUGGAAGUUUCCAGACUAGGGGUUGAAUCAGAGCUAUAGCCUCAGGUCUAUGCCACAGCCACAGCAACCCCAGAUCUGAGCUGCAUCUGUGACAUACAACAGCUCACAGCAAUACUGGAUCUUUUAGCCCACUGAGUGAGGCCAGUGAUCAAACAUGCGUUGUCAUCAUGGAUACUAGUCAGGUUUGUACAUCAGCAUAUAAACAAAUCUAUGAGUACAUGAAUUUUUAGCAUUGUUUUUAUAAGAUCAGAGGAUCAGAAAAAACAGAAGUUCUGUUAAAUCUAAGACUGGUCAUUUAAAAGACAAUACUACAUUUAUUAUGGAAUUAUUUUAUUAAAGAAAAAAGAGAACAUUAACACUUUCCAUGACAUGAGAAUAUCUUCAAGGCACCUAAUAUCGAAGAGGCAUGUUGAAGAUUGAUUCAAUAUAUGCAUUAGUCACUGUGCAUAUAUAUGUUAUAUAUGUGUGUGUGUCUAUAACUUUAAAUUUUAUAUGUAUAUAUGGGUUUACUGGGGAAUGGGAAUAUACUUAACAUUAGUCAUUUCUAAGGAAUAGAAUUGGUGGUCUUAUUUUAUGCCUUUCCGUAAAUUUCUUUUUUUUUUAAUUUUUUUAACUCAGUGAAUUUUAUUACAUUUAUAGUUGUACAAUGAUCAUCACAACCCAGUUUUAUAGCAUUUCCAUCCCAAACCCCCAGCCCAUCCCUCCACACUGCAACCUGUCUCCUUUUGAAGCCAUAAGUUUUUCAAAGUCUGCGAGUCAGUGUCUGCUCUGCAAAGUUCAUUGUGUCCUUUUUGUUUUUUUAGUUUCCACAUGCAAGUGAUGUUGGUGUCUCACUGUUUAACUUCACUUUGCAUGACAAUUUCUAGGUCCAUCCAUCUUGCUCCAAAUUCCAUUAUUUAUUUGCUUUUAAUGGUUGAGUAAUAUUCCAUUGUGUAUAUGUAUGCCUUUCUGUAAUUUUCAAUAUUAUCAUCCAUAUUAUUCUAAUAAAUUCCCUGAAAUAAAAAUUUGUUUAGGAGCCAAUAUCACCAUAACACUUAUUUAUUAUACAAACACUAUAUGUCAGUUUCUGUACUAAGUCCUUCAUAUUAUCAUUCUUGAUCUUUGUAACAGUUCUGAGAAGGAGCUAUUUCCACUAAGACUAAGAGAGGUAAGGUAGUCAAUAAUAUGUCAUACACUGAGGGAAGGGUUGGAUUCCUAAUUCCUAUUUAGGCCCAUUCCCUUCCACAGUGGAUUCUCUUCAUUUCAAAGCAUUGUAUAUCUGUGGUAUGAACAAACAGUAUAAUAACUUCUCCUUACUGGUCAAUCUUGCACCUUUCAAAAUAUUAUUGUGGUUACAAUAGUCAUGAGUGAGCACACUCAUUCAGCUGAUUACCAGCUAUGUGUCUGCUCUGUGCUCUGGGGAUUCAGCAAUGAACUAAACAGAUAAGGGUCUCCCUUCCUAUUAAGUCAACAUUCUAGCAAAUGCAGAGACAGGACAAAAAAAAAAAAAAAAAAGUCAAAUGCAUUUCUGAUGGUGCCAUGUAAUCUCAGUAACCAAAGCAGAAAAGGGGGAAAAGGGUAGGGGCCUCAUGGGAAGAGACACACUUUGAUGUCUUGUAAUCAGAUCUCUGCCACAUGUGGCACACAGCUCACCACACUUAGCUAUCAAGAUUAUCUUAUUUAGGUUUCUCCAUGUUUUUGAUUAAGAAAAUAAGUAGUUAUUUAACUCCUAAUCCCCACUCAAUGUAGUUAGGUCCUGCUCACAUCAAGAUUCACUUGGAUUCUGUUGGAUUCCAAACCCUAUAUGGUCUUUUAGAGAAAAAAGAGCUGGGCCUAGUUGACGUUAGUAUAUUAACAGUUAUAUCUUUCAUUCUACUAAAAUCUGUUUAGUACUAUAGCACAUUUUCAUAAGGCAAGAUAUACCCUCCUCUAAAACAUAUCCCUUCAAAAUACUGCACAUAACAUAAUCUUUUUAAAAUGAAAACCCCAACAUUCAUUACUCAGAAAUGGGUACAGCAUUUUUCUGUCUUAUUCUUCCAGGAGAAUGUUUUGAGCAAAAUAUAAAUAUGUGGUUGCAGAUUUUAUUUAGCUGUGUGUUUUCUGGGUCUCGUGAGCUAAGCUACUCAGGAACUGUUGUCUAUAGGAAUGAAUAUUUAACAGCUACCUCUGGGAAUGUUCAUUUGAUUCCUUGGGCUGCUCAUGGGAGGGUGUGGCACUGUCCUCUCCAGACAGAGGAUUUAGAUGACAUUAGGCCACUGAUUAAUAAUGAUCCAAGUAAGUUCAGUGUCAACUUAGGUAUCUAUUUUGCAUGUAUUUUUUUCUGAAACAUCCUUCUUUAACAGUGUACAUAUUUUCAUUAUAACUUAAGUAUCCUUUUAAAAUAUUUAAGAUAUGUGGUUUAAAAUAGGUCCUCUCUGAACUCCUGUGUUGGUGAGCUAUUUCUGAAUUGUCACAUUGGAGGGUGUGUAUUUUGGUGUACAUAUGUGAGAAUUAAAGGCUGAGAAGAAAAUAUAUCAAAGCAUCUUAACUACAAUACAAGAGAUAUCCUUAAUCAAAAUAUUGAUUGAAUUAGCUUUUAUACUACCUUACUAAUGGAACAAAGAUAAAUGGUUUACAACUAUAAGGAAAUCAUCCUUUAAAAUUAACUGAAAUCUUUGUAAAUUCUUCUUAAUUGAAAAGCGUAAAUCAGGAGUUCCAGUCGUGGCUCAGCGGAAAUAAAUCUGACUGGCAUUCAUGAGGAUGUAGGUUCGAUCUCUGGCCUUGCUUAGUGGGUUGAGGAUCUGGUGUUGCUGUGGUUGUGGUAUAGGCUGGCAGCCGUAGCUCUGAUUCAACCCCUAGCCUGGGAUCCCCAUAUGCCGUGGGUAUGGC
rnacentral:lncRNA from 1 species